rnacentral:rRNA from 1 species
UAGGGAAUCUUCCGCAAUGGGCGAAAGCCUGACGGAGCAACGCCGCGUGAGUGAUGAAGGUCUUCGGAUCGUAAAACUCUGUUAUUAGGGAAGAAUAAAUGUGUAAGUAACUAUGCACGUCUUGACGGUACCUAAUCAGAAAGCCACGGCUAACUACGUGCCAGCAGCCGCGGUAAUACGUAGGUGGCAAGCGUUAUCCGGAAUUAUUGGGCGUAAAGCGCGCGUAGGCGGUUUUUUAAGUCUGAUGUGAAAGCCCACGGCUCAACCGUGGAGGGUCAUUGGAAACUGGAAAACUUGAGUGCAGAAGAGGAAAGUGGAAUUCCAUGUGUAGCGGUGAAAUGCGUAGAUAUAUGGAGGAACACCAGUGGCGAAGGCGACUCUCUGGUCUGUAACUGACGCUGAGGUUCGAAAGCGUGGGUAGCAAACAGG